CCUACGGGGGGCUGCAGUGGGGAAUAUUGGACAAUGGGGGCAACCCUGAUCCAGCCAUGCCGCGUGUGUGAAGAAGGCCUUCGGGUUGUAAAGCACUUUCAGUGAGGAAGAAGGCCUGCGGGUUAAUAGCCGGCAGGAAGGACAUCACUCACAGAAGAAGCACCGGCUAACUCCGUGCCAGCAGCCGCGGUAAUACGGAGGGUGCGAGCGUUAAUCGGAAUUACUGGGCGUAAAGCGCGCGUAGGUGGCUUGAUAAGCCGGUUGUGAAAGCCCCGGGCUCAACCUGGGAACGGCAUCCGGAACUGUCAGGCUAGAGUGCAGGAGAGGAAGGUAGAAUUCCCGGUGUAGCGGUGAAAUGCGUAGAGAUCGGGAGGAAUACCAGUGGCGAAGGCGGCCUUCUGGACUGACACUGACACUGAGGUGCGAAAGCGUGGGUAGCAAACAGGAUUAGAUACCCCUGUAGUC
rnacentral:rRNA from 1 species